AGUAAGGUAAGCUAAUCAAGCUUUUAGGCUCAUGUCCUAAAUAUGGAAGGAUAGAGACCUCCUCUUACUU
rnacentral:tRNA from 1 species